GCAUGUGCUGUGAGCUCGAUGAGUAGGGCGGGACACGUGGUAUCCUGUCUGAAUAUGGGGGGACCAUCCUCCAAGGCUAAAUACUCCUGACUGACCGAUAGUGAACCAGUACCGUGAGGGAAAGGCGAAAAGAACCCCGGCGAGGGGAGUGAAAAAGAACCUGAAACCGUGUACGUACAAGCAGUGGGAGCACCCUUUGGGGUGUGACUGCGUACCUUUUGUAUAAUGGGUCAGCGACUUAUAUUCUGUAGCAAGGUUAACCGAAUAGGGGAGCCGGAGGGAAACCGAGUCUUAACCGGGCGUUAAGUUGCAGGGUAUAGACCCGAAACCCGGUGAUCUAGCCAUGGGCAGGUUGAAGGUUGGGUAACACUAACUGGAGGACCGAACCGACUAAUGUUGAAAAAUUAGCGGAUGACCUGUGGCUGGGGGUGAAAGGCCAAUCAAACCGGGAGAUAGCUGGUUCUCCCCGAAAGCUAUUUAGGUAGCGCCUCGUGAAUUCAUCUCCGGGGGUAGAGCACUGUUUCGGCUAGGGGGCCAUCCCGGCUUACCAACCCGAUGCAAACUGCGAAUACCGGAGAAUGUUAUCACGGGAGACACACGGCGGGUGCUAACGUCCGUCGUGAAGAGGGAAACAACCCAGACCGCCAGCUAAGGUCCCAAAGUCAUGGUUAAGUGGGAAACGAUGUGGGAAGGCCCAGACAGCCAGGAUGUUGGCUUAGAAGCAGCCAUCAUUUAAAGAAAGCGUAAUAGCUCACUGGUCGAGUCGGCCUGCGCGGAAGAUGUAACGGGGCUAAACCAUGCACCGAAGCUGCGGCAGCGACGCUGAUGCGUUGUUGGGUAGGGGAGCGUUCUGUAAGCCUGCGAAGGUGUGUCGUGAGGCAUGCUGGAGGUAUCAGAAGUGCGAAUGCUGACAUAAGUAACGAUAAAGCGGGUGAAAAGCCCGCUCGCCGGAAGACCAAGGGUUCCUGUCCAACGUUAAUCGGGGCAGGGUGAGUCGACCCCUAAGGCGAGGCCGAAAGGCGUAGUCGAUGGGAAACGGGUUAAUAUUCCCGUACUUGGUGUUACUGCGAAGGGGGGACGGAGAAGGCUAUGUUGGCCGGGCGACGGUUGUCCCGGUUUAAGCGUGUAGGUGUGUGUUCCAGGUAAAUCCGGUUCACUUUAACACUGAGGCGUGAUGACGAGGCACUACGGUGCUGAAGCAACAAAUGCCCUGCUUCCAGGAAAAGCCUCUAAGCAUCAGGUAACAUCAAAUCGUACCCCAAACCGACACAGGUGGUCAGGUAGAGAAUACCAAGGCGCUUGAGAGAACUCGGGUGAAGGAACUAGGCAAAAUGGUGCCGUAACUUCGGGAGAAGGCACGCUGACACGUAGGUGAAGUGAUUUACUCAUGGAGCUGAAGUCAGUCGAAGAUACCAGCUGGCUGCAACUGUUUAUUAAAAACACAGCACUGUGCAAACACGAAAGUGGACGUAUACGGUGUGACGCCUGCCCGGUGCCGGAAGGUUAAUUGAUGGGGUCAGCGCAAGCGAAGCUCCUGAUCGAAGCCCCGGUAAACGGCGGCCGUAACUAUAACGGUCCUAAGGUAGCGAAAUUCCUUGUCGGGUAAGUUCCGACCUGCACGAAUGGCGUAAUGAUGGCCAGGCUGUCUCCACCCGAGACUCAGUGAAAUUGAACUCGCUGUGAAGAUGCAGUGUACCCGCGGCAAGACGGAAAGACCCCGUGAACCUUUACUAUAGCUUGACACUGAACAUUGAGCCUUGAUGUGUAGGAUAGGUGGGAGGCUUUGAAGUGUGGACGCCAGUCUGCAUGGAGCCGGCCUUGAAAUACCACCCUUUAAUGUUUGAUGUUCUAACGUGGACCCGUGAUCCGGGUUGCGGACAGUGUCUGGUGGGUAGUUUGACUGGGGCGGUCUCCUCCUAAAGAGUAACGGAGGAGCACGAAGGUUGGCUAAUCCUGGUCGGACAUCAGGAGGUUAGUGCAAUGGCAUAAGCCAGCUUGACUGCGAGCGUGACGGCGCGAGCAGGUGCGAAAGCAGGUCAUAGUGAUCCGGUGGUUCUGAAUGGAAGGGCCAUCGCUCAACGGAUAAAAGGUACUCCGGGGAUAACAGGCUGAUACCGCCCAAGAGUUCAUAUCGACGGCGGUGUUUGGCACCUCGAUGUCGGCUCAUCACAUCCUGGGGCUGAAGUAGGUCCCAAGGGUAUGGCUGUUCGCCAUUUAAAGUGGUACGCGAGCUGGGUUUAGAACGUCGUGAGACAGUUCGGUCCCUAUCUGCCGUGGGCGCUGGAGAACUGAGGGGGGCUGCUCCUAGUACGAGAGGACCGGAGUGGACGCAUCACUGGUGUUCGGGUUGUCAUGCCAAUGGCACUGCCCGGUAGCUAAAUGCGGAAGAGAUAAGUGCUGAAAGCAUCUAAGCACGAAACUUGCCCCGAGAUGAGUUCUCCCUGAGACUUAGAGUCUCCUGAAGGAACGUUGAAGACGACGACGUUGAUAGGCCGGGUGUGUAAGCGCAGCGAUGCGUUGAGCUAACCGGUACUAAUGAACCGUGAGGCUUAACCUU
rnacentral:rRNA from 1 species